GAAAGGGGGGGAUGACGUCAAGUCAUCAUGGCCCCUUACGGCCAGGGCUACACACGUACUACCAAUGGUAGGGGACAGAAGGGCUGCAAAGCCGGGCGACGGUAAAGCCAAUCCCCAGAAACCCCUAUCUCAGUCCGGAUUGGAGUCUGCAACUCGACUCCAUGAAGUCGGAAUCGCUAGUAAUCGCAGAUCAGCAUUGCUGCGGUGAAUACGUUCCCGGGCCUUGUACACACCGCCCAUCACACCAUGGGAGUUUGUUGCACCAGAAGCAGGUAGCUUAACCUUCGGGAGGGCGCUGCC
rnacentral:rRNA from 1 species